rnacentral:rRNA from 1 species
UGAAGAGUUUGAUCAUGGCUCAGAUUGAACGCUGGCGGCAGGCCUAACACAUGCAAGUCGAACGGUAACAGGAAGCAGCUUGCUGCUUUGCUGACGAGUGGCGGACGGGUGAGUAAUGUCUGGGAAACUGCCUGAUGGAGGGGGAUAACUACUGGAAACGGUGGCUAAUACCGCAUAACGUCGCAAGACCAAAGAGGGGGACCUUCGGGCCUCUUGCCAUCAGAUGUGCCCAGAUGGGAUUAGCUUGUUGGUGAGGUAACGGCUCACCAAGGCGACGAUCCCUAGCUGGUCUGAGAGGAUGACCAGCCACACUGGAACUGAGACACGGUCCAGACUCCUACGGGAGGCAGCAGUGGGGAAUAUUGCACAAUGGGCG